AGAGAGAGACAUGCGCGCAUAUCAAUAAGCGGAGGAAAAGAAACUAACUAGGAUUCCCUCAGUAACGGCGAGUGAAGCGGGAAGAGCUCAAAUUUGAAAUCUUCAAGGUUCUACCUUGACGAAUUGUAGUUUAAAGAAGUGUUUUCUGUUGGAGUUUUGGUAAAAGUUCUUUGGAAUAGGACAUCAUAGAGGGUGAGAAUCCCGUAUUUGAUCCAUUAUUUCAAGCUUUGUGAUACACUUUCAAAGAGUCGGAUUGUUUGGGAAUGCAGUCCAAAAUGGGUGGUAAAUUUCAUCUAAAGCUAAAUAUUGGCGAGAGACCGAUAGCGAACAAGUACCGUGAGGGAAAGAUGAAAAGAACUUUGAAAAGAGAGUUAAACAGUACGUGAAAUUGUCAAAAGGGAAGCGUUUGACACCAGUGUUGUUUUCUCGAAAAUCAAUUAAAAAAGGCAGGAUUUUGUGUUGUAUUGACUUUAUCAGCUUUCUGCACUCUUUUCUUGUCUUUUUUAAUGCACUUUUCGUUUAACAAGUCAACAUCAAUUUCUUUUGUUGUAAAAGGGUCAUUGGAAGGUGGCUUUCUUUUCGGAGAAAGUGUUUAUAGCCUUUGGCCUCUGCAAUCGGAGAGAUUGAGGUCUGCAGCGUAGAUCCUUCGGGGUUAGAUACAUUUGUGCUAAGUUAUAGCCUUUCAUAGACAACUUGUUGACUAUGAUCAGUCAUGUAGCUUACUCGCUUAUGCUAUUUUACCUACGCUUAGGAUGUUGAUGUGAUACUGCGAGC
rnacentral:rRNA from 1 species